rnacentral:rRNA from 1 species
UACGUAGGGUGCGAGCGUUAAUCGGAAUUACUGGGCGUAAAGCGUGCGCAGGCGGUUUUGUAAGCCAGAUGUGAAAUCCCCGGGCUCAACCCGGGAAUGGCAUUUGGGACUGCAAGGCUGGAGUGCGGCAGAGGAGACUGGAAUUCCUGGUGUAGCAGUGAAAUGCGUAGAUAUCAGGAGGAAUACCGAUGGCGAAGGCAGGUCUCUGGGCUGACACUGACGCUCAUGCACGAAAGCGUGGGGAGCAAACAGG